UUCCCAGAUUUUGGCCUAACCAGUGCCUCUAUUUUUGCACUAACAGCCGCCAAUAAAAUGAGCUGGCAGAAAAUACACUUUGAAAAACUGUUCUGAUGUCACUUCAGAGAUGCCACAUUUUAUUUUAAGUACCUAUGUAGAAAUACACUUGAAAUCUUAUGCUAUCGGAUCCCCAUUGACAUUCCAAUGAAAGAGCUAGAUUGACACAAAAUCAACACUAUACGCAAUGCACAGGUGUACCAAUAGGCUUUCAUUCAUGCUACAUAUUUAUGAGUCUAUUCAAUCUUUUAAUCAGUGAAACAAGAGAGAGAUUACAAAACACCAAAGAUGAGGGAAACUAAAACUAAUGGCAGAGAGACACCUUUUGAUGGUAAAACUCUCGGCUCUUCCAUUUGUUGGGUACCAUCUAAAAUAUUUCAAAACAAAUGUAACUGAGAAUAGGAACAAAUUAUACAUGCUGUUUUUAUGAGACAAGAAAAGGGGAAAAAAAUAGAUAUGGAUUUUAACAAAUAUAAAUGAUGCUCUGGCUAAAAAAGGUAGGGCACUUUUGGAAUGUGAGACACUAAUAUGUAGUUUUUGAUCCUUGCCAAGACCCUUUUACUUUACAAAGAUGAAGUUAAGGAAUGAUUUCAUCAUUGUUGAUAGAUUAAGUCAUAAAAACAAAAUGUGAGUAGUAUGUGAUACAUAGAUAUAAUUUUGCAAUACUGAUGGAACUUGGACAACAAGAUGUAGAAGUGUGUGACCUUUUACAUGUGGUGAAGCAGAACUCCAGUCCUGCCGUCACGUGAUAGAAGACUUAACAAGGGUAAAGCAGAAGCUGUACUGGAAGUUUUGAAGGUGAUAGUCAGAUAACGAACAAAACUUACCAUUAGCUAAAGUACUUCUGUUCAUCCAGACCAAAUUUACUCUUAGUAAGCAGAAUUCUACUUUAAAUAAUCAUACUGAUUUAAAAUAGAUAAGCAACACAUACCUAGCCUAGAUAAAAUCACUGAAGAAGUAGCUAGUGAGGUGAACUUACAUCACUAAUUAAAUACCGUUUGCAUCCACUGGCCAUACAGAUACUUUCAGCAAGGUGUGACUUCUGUAUUAAGCAAAGAAAAUAAUCAUCAGUGUUCAGCUAUGUUAAUAGUUACAUAUACAGAGUUAGAGAAAACCAAAAUAAGGAAAAAGCUCAAUCUGAGUUCAGACUUCCAUGAAUACUGCUUAACCACAAUGUACAAGCCUAUUGUAAUGGUAGAAGAAGGUGUCAGAAAGGUAGGAUUCAAGGAGGAAAAGCUCAGAAAAACAGGAACUUGUAACAGAGAGGAAGUUAUCUAAUACAAUACAAGAAGCCUCAGCACUGAUCUGAGGUGAGGGAACAAAAACACAGCUGGAGCAGAGAACACCAAUGAAGCACUGGCUAUUGUGGCUGGGAGUUCUGACAGAGCUUCUAGCAAACCUGACACUGCAGCAAUAUGACACAGAGGCAGCUAUAUCCCAACCAAGCAGAUAGAUACAGGUGUUUCAGGACCAUAGGAUCAUAGAGUAUCGUGAGUUGGAAGGAACUCUACAAGGAUCAUUGAAUCCAACACCCAGCUCCACACAGAAACACCCAAAAUUCAAACCUUAUGCAUGAGGCCACUUUAUUCUCAUCGUAUAUAGGGAUAUGCCGUAUCUCUUAUGCAAAUAGAUUCUUUUUCAAUAGCCAAAGAGUAUCCUGUGACAAAUGGUUGCUAUUUUGAGCUCACACUAAUGCACUGUGAAAAAAACAUAGUUAUGCC
rnacentral:lncRNA from 1 species